AAAAAGCAUGCCUGUACCUAUUCACACCUCGACCUGGAACUGAAGCAGUGCAAACAUCUUCAAGAAAAGUUGCAAUGAGGCCAAAGCAAGCUGUGCUGAUAAGAAGGAGGCAACACGUCCCUACGUGAGCAAAGAAGUCCGCAGCUACCACCAGUUCCAAUGGCCCGCCUGGAUUCCCGUACCUGCCACCCAUCCUCCAGUGUCUGCAUCUCCUAGUCUCUAUCAUUUGCAAUAAUACAUUUUUCUCCAGCGUUUUUACAAUAAACUUUUUUUCCCUUAAAUUGCUGCCUUACAUCCGAUUGAGCCCGUUUCCAGUUCCCGGUACACUGCAAAAACUGUCCCUCUGAAAAUAAGCCAAAUAAUCAAAAAUCUAGCCAAAUUGUCUUGUAUUAGUCUAAAAAAUCUGCCAAUGGAGUAUG